UACGUAGGGGCCAAGCGUUGUCCGGAUUUAUUGGGCGUAAAGAGCUCGUAGGCGGUUCGGCAAGUCGAAUGUGAAAUCUCCACGCUCAACGUGGAGGGGUCAUUCGAUACUGCCGUGACUUGAGUACGGUAGGGGAGUGUGGAAUUCCCGGUGUAGCGGUGAAAUGCGCAGAGAUCGGGAGGAACACCCGUAGCGAAGGCGGCACUCUGGGCCGAUACUGACGCUGAGGCGCGAAAGCGUGGGGAGCGAACAGG
rnacentral:rRNA from 1 species